rnacentral:lncRNA from 1 species
GAAAAUUUGGCAAUGCCUGGCUAAGAUUCAUGGUGGAACCAUUGGAGGCCUUUAAGUAAUGUUGUAACCAUACUUCCAAUUUAGAAAGAUUUCACCAGAUAGGAUGGAGAAACAAUUGAUGCUGAAAGAAAGAUACUAUGAUAAAAUUUGAUUCAUGCAACCAAUCUUUAUCAGUGACCUCUUUUAUGCCAGACACUAUACCAAGCUGGAGUCUGGGAAUGCAGAAACGAAUAUACAGUCUAUUCCUCAUGACAAUUGCAAACCAGACCAAGAAAACGUGAAUACAAGUGUAACAGUGCAUAAUAAAAUGGAAUUUCAACAGAUGUUAAAUGGUGCAGAAUGA